UACGGAGGGUGCGAGCGUUAAUCGGAAUUACUGGGCGUAAAGGGCACGCAGGCGGUUUGUUAAGCUAGAUGUGAAAGCCCCGGGCUCAACCUGGGAUGGUCAUUUAGAACUGGCAGACUAGAGUCUUGGAGAGGGGAGUGGAAUUCCAGGUGUAGCGGUGAAAUGCGUAGAUAUCUGGAGGAACAUCAGUGGCGAAGGCGACUCCCUGGCCAAAGACUGACGCUCAUGUGCGAAAGUGUGGGUAGCGAACAGG
rnacentral:rRNA from 1 species